AUGUGUACCUUAGCUUGGAACUUCCGGGGUGGGGGGAACCGCCGGACAGUUCGGGAACUACUGGCUCUUUGCCAGUCAAACAACUCCAGCCUCGUUUUUCUUUGUGAAACUAGGCAAACGGAGGAGAAGAUGGAGAAGCUGAGAUGGAGAUUGGGACUUAGGGGAUUUGAAGGAGUGGGAAGUGACCGAAGAAGUGGGGGGCUGGCUCUAUACUGGCAUGAGGCCCUUCAUGUAGAGAUUCUUGGGAAAAGUAAC
rnacentral:rRNA from 1 species